rnacentral:rRNA from 1 species
UACAGAGGGGGCAAGCGUUGUUCGGAAUUACUGGGCGUAAAGGGCGCGUAGGCGGCCUGUUAAGUCGAACGUGAAAUCCCCGGGCUCAACCCGGGAACUGCGUCCGAAACUGGCAGGCUCGAAUUCGGGAGAGGGAUGCGGAAUUCCAGGUGUAGCGGUGAAAUGCGUAGAUAUCUGGAGGAACAUCGGUGGCGAAGGCGGCAUCCUGGACCGAUAUUGACGCUGAGGCGCGAAAGCCAGGGGAGCAAAC